rnacentral:tRNA from 1 species
CGGGGUAUAGUUUAAUGUAGAACACCUCUUUUACACUGAGGAAGCACUCGUUAAAUCCGAGUUGCCUUGA